rnacentral:rRNA from 1 species
CCUAUCUGGGUGAUCCUGCCAGUAGUCAUAUGCUUGUCUCAAAGAUUAAGCCAUGCAUGUCUGAGUACAGACCGAUCUAAGGUGAAACCGCGAAUGGCUCAUUAAAUCAGUCGUAAUUUCUUGGAUAGUGAAAAACUUUCCUCGGAUAACUGUGGAAAAUCCAGAGCUAAUACGUGCAACUGAGCUCCGACCUGGGCGCAAGCCUUGGGAAGAGCGCAUUUAUUAGAUUCAAAACUGACCGGCGUACUCCUUCGGGAUACGUCGUUCGUCAAAUGUUUGAUGACUCCGGAUAACUUAGCCGAGCGCUACGGUCUUUAGUACCGGCGCCGUAUCUUUCAAGUGUCUGCCUUAUCAGCUUUCGAUUGUAGGUUAAACGCCUACAAUGGCUGUAACGGGUAACGGGGAAUCAGGGUUCGAUUCCGGAGAGGGAGCCUGAGAAACGGCUACCACAUCUAAGGAAGGCAGCAGGCACGCAAAUUACCCACUCCCAGCCCGGGGAGGUAGUGACGAAAAAUAACGAUGCGAGACUCUUCCGAGGCCUCGCAAUCGGAAUGAGUCCAUCCUAAAUCUUUGGACGAGGAUCCAUUGGAGGGCAAGUCUGGUGCCAGCAGCCGCGGUAAUUCCAGCUCCAAUAGCGUAUAUUAAAGUUGCUGCGGUUAAAAAGCUCGUAGUUGGACUUUCUAGAUCCAUUUCGUGGGUGGGUCGCUCGUUGUACUGGCGAUUCGCGCCAGUCACUGGUCGACGUCGUGCGGAGAGUCGUACUUCUACUAAGUUGGCUUUACGGCUUUCGAUAGGGGAGACUUCNCUCUCUCGGCAAACUUUCCAGCGGACGGCGUUUCUCGGUCUUCGGGUAUAGCUCGCCCGCGUUUGGUACAAUUAAAAUUUUGUCGGCUCGCUCGGAGUGCUCUUUACCGAGUGUUCCAGGGUGGCCGACACGUUCACUUUGAAAAAAUUAGAGUGCUUAAAGCGGGCUGUAAAAACGGCCGGAAUGUCUGUGCAUGGAAUGAAGUAACAGGACCUCGAUUCUGUUCUUUUUGUCGGUUUUAAUGAACCGAGGUAAUGAUUAAAAGGGACAGACGGUGGCAUUAGUAUUGCGACGCUAGAGGUGAAAUUCUUGGACCGUCGCAAGACUAACUACUGCGAAAGCAUUUGCCGAGAAUGUUUUCAUUAAUCAAGAACGAAAGUUAGAGGAUCGAAGGCGAUCAGAUACCGCCCUAGUUCUAACCCUAAACUAUGCUAACUAGCGAUCCGCCGAAGUCAUUCCCACGACUCGGCGGGAAGCCCCAGGGAAACCAAAGUCUUUGAGUUCCGGGGGAAGUAUGGUUGCAAAGCUGAAACUUAAAGGAAUUGACGGAAGGGCACCACCAGGAGUGGAGCCUGCGGCUUAAUUUGACUCAACACGGGAAACCUCACCAGGCCCGGACAUCAUAAGGAUUGACAGAUUGAGAGCUCUUUCUCGAUUUGAUGGGUGGUGGUGCAUGGCCGUUCUUAGUUGGUGGAGUGAUCUGUCUGGUUGAUUCCGAUAACGAACGAGACUCUACCCUACUAACUAGUCGGCGGAUCGUAACCCUGAGAUGGUUAGUUUGUAUAGGAGAGUUUUUGCCUAGGCGGAGUUCUUCCGGGGUGAUGGGUCUUCGUGCGUGUAUAUCGAACUCUUUACGGGGGGAGAUGUCUCGCGCGGAGCUUCCCUGCUUCGGUCAGAGUCUUUGUCGAAGCUGCUUUCCGAUUACUACUACUGCUGGGGGCGUCCGUCGCAAUGUAUCUUCUUAGAGGGAUCAGCGGCGUCUAGCCGCACGAGAAAGAGCAAUAACAGGUCUGUGAUGCCCUUAGAUGUUCUGGGCCGCACGCGCGCUACAAUGUAAGGACCAGCGUGCUUUCCCUCUCCGAAAGGAGCGGGUAACCCGUUGAAACCCCUACCCGAUUGGGAUUGGGGAUUGCAAAUAUUUCCCAUGAACGAGGAAUUCCCAGUAAGUGCGAAUCAUUAAUUCGCGCUGAUUACGUCCCUGCCCUUUGUACACACCGCCCGUCGCUACUACCGAUUGAAUGAUUCAGUGAGGGCAUCGGACUGGCGCCUUCGGUUUAGUCAAAUAAAUCUUAGGCUGACGGAAAGAUGUCCGAACUUGAUCAUU